rfam:Triticum urartu cultivar G1812 contig577284, whole genome shotgun sequence.
CUAGUACUCCCUCCGUCCGAAAAUACUUGUCCUAGAAAUGAAUAAAAUGAAUGUAUCUAUAACUAAAAUAAGUCUAGAUACAACCAUUUAUAGAACAAGUAUUUCCGGACGGAGGGAGUACCUC